GCCAACGACCAUACCACGUUGAAUACACCAGUUCUCGUCCGAUCACUGUAGUUAAGCAACGUCGGGAGUAGUUACCGCUUGGGAACACUAAGUGCCGUUGCCA
rnacentral:rRNA from 1 species